rnacentral:rRNA from 1 species
GCUUGUCUCAAAGAUUAAGCCAUGCAUGUCUAAGUAUAAAUAACUACACAGUAAAACUGCGAAUGGCUCAUUAAAUCAGUUAUAGUUUAUUUGAUGGUCCUUGCUACUUGGAUAACCGUAGUAAUUCUAGAGCUAAUACAUGCAUCAAACCCCGACUUCUGGAAGGGGUGUAUUUAUUAGAUGGAAACCAAUGCAGGGCAACCUGGAAUAUGGUGAUUCAUAAUAACUCGCGGAUCGGUUUACCGAUGCAUCAUUCAAGUUUCUGCCCUAUCAGCUUUGGAUGGUAGGGUAUUGGCCUACCAUGGCUUUAACGGGUAACGGAGAAUUAGGGUUCGAUUCCGGAGAGGGAGCCUGAGAAAUGGCUACCACAUCCAAGGAAGGCAGCAGG